CAUUGUUUCCAAAUUCACUUUUAACCAUAAAAGUGAAGCCGCGCCGUCAUCUUCAUCUUCACUUUCGAAUCUGCCUUCGUCGUUCAUCUUCAUCGCACCCAGCCUUCAUCGUCAUCUUCUUCACUGCCCUUCCUCUAAUUUUUUACCUAGUGGACUAGUGGUCUCCCAUCCCCCCUACCGCCGCAUUGAGAAAAUUAUCAUGCAUUGUGUUUAAGGUCCACCGUCGUUCAUUCGCCGUUCAUUACAGUGGUCUACCUCGAGCUUGCCGUUGCCGUCGCCGUCACCGUCACCGUCAGUAGUCUUUGUCUUCCUCGACGCUGCUUUGAAAGGGUUUUGAAUGGCUUUUCCUUGAAAGGUUUAGAAAACCCUAACCUCCAUCACGCCGCCAUCUAUCUCACCAUCGCCACCCUUCGCGCUCAAGAUCGCAACCAGGUUCAUCGUUGUGUUAGCCAGCUCGCCAUUCCUCUUGCUAUUUUGCUUGUCGUCCCUCUCGCCGUUCUGGUCGUCGUGCUGCUUGCCUCUCUCUGGUGGUUCUGCUCGCCGUGUUACUCGAAGAACCUAUGGCCAAAAGCAAUUGUUCUACUCAAAACGCCUCCUCCAAUUGACGAAGUUGCACGUCUUCAAUAUCCAUAUACAGACAACCCACAGGGUCUUCCUGAGAGAACAAACAAAGCUGCUGGCGAGUAUGCUAGAGCAUGCACUGCUAUGGCUGCAGAAUGUGGAGUCCCUAUGAUUGAUCUCUGGACCAAAAUGCAGCAGUGCCCUGACUAGAAGAAAGAAUA